rnacentral:rRNA from 1 species
GGGGAAUAUUGCACAAUGGGCGAAAGCCUGAUGCAGCAACGCCGCGUGAGUGAUGAAGGCCUUCGGGUUGUAAAGCUCUGUCUUCUGGGACGAUAAUGACGGUACCAGAGGAGGAAGCCACGGCUAACUACGUGCCAGCAGCCGCGGUAAUACGUAGGUGGCAAGCGUUGUCCGGAUUUACUGGGCGUAAAGGAUGCGUAGGCGGAUACUUAAGUCAGAUGUGAAAAUCCCGGGCUUAACUUGGGAACUGCAUUUGAAACUGGGUAUCUAGAGUGCGGGAGAGGAAAGUGGAAUUCCUAGUGUAGCGGUGAAAUGCGUAGAGAUUAGGAAGAACACCAGUGGCGAAGGCGACUUUCCGGACCGUAACUGACGCUGAGGCAUGAAAGCGUGGGGAGCAAACA